rnacentral:rRNA from 1 species
UCGAGGUGGAAGCAUGGUGAUAUGUGGAGCUGACGAAUACUAAUAGAUCGAGGACUUAACCAUA